CCUACGGGAGGCAGCAGUGGGGAAUAUUGGACAAUGGGCGCAAGCCUGAUCCAGCCAUGCCGCGUGAGUGAUGAAGGCCUUAGGGUUGUAAGCUCUUUCACCGGAGAAGAUAAUGACGGUAUCCGGAGAAGAAGCCCCGGCUAACUUCGUGCCAGCAGCCGCGGUAAUACAA
rnacentral:rRNA from 1 species